AUUGAACGCUGGCGGCAUGCCUUACACAUGCAAGUCGAACGGGGGUAGCAAUACCCUAGUGGCGAACGGGUGAGUAAAGCAUCGGAACGUACCCAGUCGUGGGGGAUAACGUAGCGAAAGUUACGCUAAUACCGCAUACGUCCUGAGGGGGAAAGCGGGGGAUCGCAAGACCACGCGCGAUUGGAGCGGCCGAUGUAGGAUUAGCUAGUUGGUAGGGUAAAAGCCUACCAAGGCGACGAUCCGUAGCUGGUCUGAGAGGACGACCAGCCACACUAGGACUGAGACACGGCCCAGACUACUACGGGAGGCAGCAGUGGGGAAUUUUGGACAAUGGGGGGAACCCUGAUCCAGCCAUGACGCGUGAGUGAAGAAGGCCUUCGGGUUGUAAAGCUCUUUCAGACGGAAAGAAAUUGCGCAGGUAAGUAAUCUGUGUAGAUGACGGGACCGUGAGAAGAAGCACCGGCUAACUACGUGCCAGCCGCCGCAGUAAAAC
rnacentral:rRNA from 1 species